rnacentral:lncRNA from 1 species
GCUAAAUAUACUUCUCAAAAUAUUUUUUCUGCACACAAGAGUCCUUGCUACUGUGCCUGCUGUAUAUCAUACUAUGGAGUUUGGCUCCAUCUCCCACAGCACACACAAGUGACCAGCCUGCAACAUGAAGAAAAGCACAGAUUGUUGGAAACGAAAUUCUCAUCAAGGAAAACCUGCAGCAACAGGAAGGAGAAUGCAAAAAUGAAACUUGCCAUUCUGAAAAACGUUUUUUCCACACACAGUUUAAAAAUGGCUCAGCAGUAUCUAAAGCUGGCUGUGUCUGUGUAUCGAACACCUGCUGAGGAACAGUGAGUCAGUUUUGAAACUUCAGACCUUUGCAGUUCAGCCUGUUACUGAGCUGUGUUUAUUUUUCUACUCUGAAAAAGUGAGUAUCUUAGAAAUUAAAAGCUGUGACCUGAGCCAGGUAAACUGACAGAGAAAUAAACCUAUAAUAAUAGGCUAAGAGAUCCCUAGA